rnacentral:ncRNA from 1 species
GUUCAAAAGAGGAAAGGCUUGCGGUGAAUACCUAGGCACCCAGAGACGAGGAAGGGCGUAGCAAGCGACGAAAUGCUUCGGGGAGUUGAAAAUAAGCAUAGAUCCGGAGAUUCCCAAAUAGGUCAACCUUUUAAACUGCCUGCUGAAUCCAUGAGCAGGCAAG